rnacentral:lncRNA from 1 species
AUGGGCUUGGAGAUUCAUCGAUUCCUCUUCCAAUUGACUGUUCCAGUCGCCAUGGGUAGGAAUUAUUAUGUGGUAUCUCUUUCUAGAAACAUAGUUGCUUCCCCACCUUAAAAGGAGUAACCAAUCAGAACCAGAAACAAAAACCCUAAGAUUACGACCUGGAAGAAAUCAUGGCUGGUGAAUCGAGUUUUUGCUCAAAUUUUUUAUCUUCGAAUCCUGCAAUUCUUUCGAUUUGGUCAGCUUCGGUAAUGUAGGUGUUUGGAUUGUACAAUUUGUUGAUUGGUUUUAUUUGUUCUGAGAUGCUUCAAUGUAGUGGAAUUGAUUCGAUGUUGUGGUGUAGUUUGAUUUCGCGAUUGGACAUGCUGCAGUGGUGGUGGUGGUGGUGGCAGCAGCGACAGAAGCCACUGGUGGUGGAGGAGGCGGCGCAUAAAUCCUAUUAAGGAUGUGAUAUUUUCUUUGUUGUUUUUAAUUAAAAUAAUUUUAUAAUGUGAUGUGGAGUCUAUAAGUCAGCAAAUGCAUCAUCUUAUUUGACCGUUAAAUUAAUAGGCAAAAUCAACGUUGACUAUUUUUCGUUAAAGUUGAUCAGAAAUUUGUGCAACAAAAACAUUUUUAAUAGAUUGUAUCAUUGUCGGCAAAGAUCUGAUAGAUUGACUUUCCUGAAGCAUUAAUCCAUGAAUAAAUAUAGAUUGCUCGAUU